GAUGAACGCUGGCGGCGUGCCUAAUACAUGCAAGUCGAGCGAACGGACGAGAAGCUUGCUUCUCUGAUGUUAGCGGCGGACGGGUGAGUAACACGUGGAUAACCUACCUAUAAGACUGGGAUAACUUCGGGAAACCGGAGCUAAUACCGGAUGAUAUUUUGAACCGCAUGGUUCAAAAGUGAAAGACGGUCUUGCUGUCACUUAUAGAUGGAUCCGCGCUGCAUUAGCUAGUUGGUAAGGUAACGGCUUACCAAGGCAACGAUGCAUAGCCGACCUGAGAGGGGGAGCGCCAACAGAGGAACGGGAACCGGGUCCAGCCUCCCAGGGGGGGCAGGAGUGGGAAACUUUCCGAAAGGGGCAAAAGCCGGACGGAGCACCGCCGGGGGGGUAAUAAAGUUCUUCGGACUGAAAACCUUUGUUAUUGGGAAAAAACAUAUGUGAAAUUACUGGUGAACAUCUUGAGGGUACUAAUCCAAAAAGCCACGGCAAACUACGU
rnacentral:rRNA from 1 species